rnacentral:misc_RNA from 1 species
UGACAUGCAAUGAAAGUGGCAGUCCCCUCAAGGAUUCUUAAAAAUGUCAAGGCAAACCAAAUGCUAGCAAUUGAAUUAGUGGCAAGGAUAACCAGAGUCAGGCACUUCACUAGGGAGAGAUAAACUAUUAAUGGCAAACUUUUCCUAGAUGCUUUAAAUGAAAGCUUAGAUUAAAGUGCCUUGCUACUUGAAAACAAGAUAACAAAUAUCAUAAAAUGAUUUAAGUAGGCUAACAUGGAGCACCUAAAGACAUAAUAAGCUUAUAAUGAUGCCGACUGUAGUCUUGCCUACAACCUUCUUGACCCUUUUAUAGAGAUCUAACUAGAUCAUUGCAUCCCUCACACACAUGUUAUGUUCAAAUAUCUGGCUCCUCUUUCUCCUCAGAUACAUGGCAAAUGCAUUUCCCUUUCUUUGACCACGUUAUGUACCUUACUUUUCUAUCCUUGCAACAAACUCCAUAUUCCAACUGAACACUCCUUAGAGUUGCCAUGUCAACAAUCUAGGCCAUUUUCAGUCGAUCAAAUUUCUCCUUUUGACUACUUAACCUAACAUGGGUCUCACCCUCACUGUAUUAGCUUUGGGGAAAAGACUUAUGCAUAACUAACCCAAUAAUAUGGCUAAGCUCAUUCAAUUCAUUGCAAAUCCCAGUACUAGUCAGUGUUGUAAAAGGUGAGAAGAGGCGUUGGGCAAGUCGAGAGGCGAGGCGAGGCUAGGCGAGGCAAUGCUCCAGCGACUCCCCAGGCCAAG